CGAAAAAUUCCUAUUAGAUACCACUGAUAUUUCCCACAAAAUUGACAGAAUUUUCCACAAAAUUGACAGAAUUUGUCCCAUUUAUUUUUAUAUAAUUAACAAUUAUUCGCCUCAGGCUCGGUGAUUAUCGGGGAAUAUUCACCUCGACGAAGAUUUUGUUAUAUUCACCUUUAGGUGUUAUAUUCACCUGUAGGUGAAUAUAACAGAUUAAUACGUCAAAUUUGACCAAUCACCUUGUAGGAUUUGUUAUGUUCACUUGUGCAAAAAUACUAAUAAGCCAAUAUUGCACCCGACUGUGAAGCGAAUAUUGCCCGACUGGCUUUGUUUGCCCAACAAACUGGGGGGACUGCCGCCGCCCC